GCAUUGGUGGUUCAGUGGUACAAUUCUCUCCUCCCACGCUUGAGAUCCGGGUCCGAUUCCCAGCCAAUGCA
rfam:Danio rerio chromosome 4, GRCz11 reference primary assembly.